rnacentral:ncRNA from 1 species
AUAAACACUGUGAAAAAGAAAGUAGUGAAUUCGUUUUUUUAGUCAGAGAGUCUCGGUAGCUGAAAAGAGAUAAAAAAAUACGUUCAACGAAAAUGGCUUUUGAGUGGAUCUUCUGAAUAAUUAAGAAGAUACGGUUUGCGCCGUUAACAAGCAACGGUCUCCACAAGUAGUGGGUACUGGUUGAGGUAGUAUUUGUGAGAAUACUACAUGAUAAGGUGGUAACGCAGAGUAAUGCCCUUAGA